UAAAGUGCGAUAUCUAAUGUGAUUUGCAUGAAUCUGUGAGUCAUCUAGUCUUUGAACGCAACUUGCACCUCUCGAGAAAUCGAGCGGUAUGUCUGUUUGAGAACCACAAACCUCCUUGCCUUGUGCAUGCAUGCUAUACCGUGAGGGUAGUGUGUGUAGCUGGCAGAUAUGAGAUAUUGUGAGUAUCUUGAAAUAAAGCAUGCAAGGCUUGUGAACGUGUGCCAUGUGCUAGAGAUCGCAAGAUCUUGUCAUGGUGUACGGGAACGGCCGAACCUUUACGCUUUUUAAAUUGAGGUCUCAAAUCAGGCAAGAUUACCCGCUGAACUUAA
rnacentral:misc_RNA from 1 species